rnacentral:rRNA from 1 species
GGAAACAAGAUGCUAAUACCGGAUAAUAACAGAUGAUGCCUAUCAACUGUUUAAAAGAUGGUUCUGCUAUCACUCUUGGAUGGACCUGCGGUGCAUUAGCUAGUUGGUAGGGUAACGGCCUACCAAGGCGAUGAUGCAUAGCCGAGUUGAGAGACUGAUCGGCCACAUUGGGACUGAGACACGGCCCAAACUCCUACGGGAGGCAGCAGGG